UCGCAGGUGGCUGAGUGGGUAAAGAAUCUGCCUGCAAUGCAGGAAAUCCAGGUUCAAUCCCUGGGUUGGGAA
rnacentral:tRNA from 1 species